CGCUCCCCUCUCUCCCCGUCCCUGCUGCUCUCCACCUUCGUGGGGCUCCUGCUCAACAAAGCCAAGAAUUCUAAGAGUGCCCAGGGUCUGGCUGGUCUUCGAAACCUUGGGAACACGUGCUUCAUGAACUCAAUUCUGCAGUGCCUGAGCAACACUCGGGAGUUGAGAGAUUACUGCCUCCAGAGGCUCUACAUGCGGGACCUGCACCACGGCAGCAAUGCACACACAGCCCUCGUGGAAGAGUUUGCAAAACUAAUUCAGACUAUAUGGACUUCAUCCCCCAAUGAUGUGGUGAGCCCAUCUGAGUUCAAGACCCAGAUCCAGAGAUACGCACCGCGCUUUGUUGGCUAUAAUCAGCAGGAUGCUCAGGAGUUCCUUCGCUUUCUUCUGGAUGGGCUCCAUAACGAGGUGAACCGAGUGACACUGAGACCUAAGUCCAACCCUGAGAACCUCGAUCAUCUUCCUGAUGACGAGAAAGGCCGACAGAUGUGGAGAAAAUAUCUAGAACGGGAAGACAGUAGGAUCGGGGGUAAGCGCAUGAAAGGGAAGAUGCCUGUUUUCACUGUUGCCUGCUCUUGCCUGAGUGGAGCAUGAAAAGCCCUAAGAAUCACUCUCCCGGGGAAGCCUGUUUCUGCCU
rnacentral:sRNA from 1 species